GUGUGUGUGUGUGUGUGUGUGUGUGUGUGCGCGCGCGCGUGCGCGCUGAGGUGGAGGGAGGGUGAUCUGGAUUCCAAAUUGCAGUUUCCAACAUUAAAGUUAUGCUGUAAUGCUUCUGAUUCAUAAAAUGAGCUCAUAGUCUCACAGUAUCCUGAAUGUUGCUUCGAAUGCAAAUGCAGGUCCCUUAGUAAGAAUUGGGGAUUUCAGCCUACUCCACCCUAGCCCCGGCCCAGCAUGCAAUUUUUCAGUCCCAGAGUCAAGAGUUCUCAUGUGCAGAAAGAAGCAAUUCCUCCAACAGAAUGCGGCCACUGGCUCUGCUUCCUGCCACCUGCAGUGAGUCAGGGAAGAAUGGAGCCCCAGGCUGCUUCUGUACUGAUGCAUGCACGCCUGCACACACACAGGAAGGGUGCCAAUCUGGGCUGACCAAAGGAAGUGCCCAGGCUAGCAGAUCCCUAGGGAGAUGGCUCCACAACUCUUUCACCCUGAGGUCCCCUUAGGGUCAGGAUGACCGACACAUGCACUCCACAAGGCCAGCUACAGGGCAGUGCCAGGAAACUGGGUUCACCAGCCCCAGAAUCACCCACGGUGGACUGACAUUUUUGAAACCAGUGAUGCAAUCUGAGGAGGUUCCAGGAGCAGGGACUCACUGGGCCCAACACAUGACAAGUACACAUUUUUUUUGAUGGAGAUCUUUCACUAAUUUGUUCAACUAACAUGCACUAAGACCAGGUGAGGUAGUUCAAGACUGUAAUCCCAGCACUUUGGGAGGCCAAAGUGGGUGGAUUUCUUGAGCCCAAGAGUUCAAGACCAGCCUGGGCAACAUGGCAAAACCCCAUAUCUACAAAAAUAGAAAAAUUAGCCAGGUGUGGUGAUGUGUACCCGUAGUCCCAGCUACUUGGGAGGCUGAGGUGGGAAGAUUGCUUGAGCCCAGGAGGCUGAGAUUGCAGCGACCUGAGAUCGCACUACUGCACUCCAGCCUGGGCGACAGAGAAAGACCCUAUCUCUAACAACCAAAAAAAAAAAAAAACA
rnacentral:lncRNA from 10 species